rnacentral:rRNA from 1 species
CCUACGGGAGGCUGCAGUGGGGAAUAUUGGACAAUGGGCGAAAGCCUGAUCCAGCCAUGCCGCGUGUGUGAAGAAGGCCUUCGGGUUGUAAAGCACUUUCAGUGGGGAAGAAAGCCUUGGGGCUAAUACCCUCGAGGAAGGACAUCACCCACAGAAGAAGCACCGGCUAACUCCGUGCCAGCAGCCGCGGUAAUACGGAGGGUGCGAGCGUUACUCGGAAUUACUGGGCGUAAAGCGCGCGUAGGCGGUCUGAUAAGCCGGUUGUGAAAGCCCCGGGCUCAACCUGGGAACGGCAUCCGGAACUGUCAGGCUAGAGUGCAGGAGAGGAAGGUAGAAUUCCCGGUGUAGCGGUGAAAUGCGUAGAGAUCGGGAGGAAUACCAGUGGCGAAGGCGGCCUUCUGGACUGACACUGACGCUGAGGUGCGAAAGCGUGGGUAGCAAACAGGAUUAGAUACCCCUGUAGUC